rnacentral:tRNA from 1 species
ACUUAAAUAGCUUAAAAAGAGCAUGAUAUUGAAGAUAUCUAGGUGAUUACUUGAUCUUUAAGUA